GUGGGGAAUAUUGGACAAUGGGGGGAACCCUGAUCCAGCCAUGCCGCGUGUGUGAAGAAGGCCUUUUGGUUGUAAAGCACUUUAAGCGAGGAGGAGGCUACCGAGAUUAAUACUCUUGGAUAGUGGACGUUACUCGCAGAAUAAGCACCGGCUAACUCUGUGCCAGCAGCCGCGGUAAUACAGAGGGUGCAAGCGUUAAUCGGAUUUACUGGGCGUAAAGCGCGCGUAGGUGGCCAAUUAAGUCAAAUGUGAAAUCCCAGAGCUUAACUUGGGAAUUGCAUUCGAUACUGGUUGGCUAGAGUAUGGGAGAGGAUGGUAGAAUUCCAGGUGUAGCGGUGAAAUGCGUAGAGAUCUGGAGGAAUACCGAUGGCGAAGGCAGCCAUCUGGCCUAAUACUGACACUGAGGUGCGAAAGCAUGGGGAGCAAACAGGAUUAGAAACCCUAGUAGUCC
rnacentral:rRNA from 1 species